rnacentral:rRNA from 1 species
UACGGGGGGGGCAAGCGUUGUUCGGAAUUACUGGGCGUAAAGGGCUCGUAGGCGGCCAACUAAGUCGGAUGUGAAAUCCCCAGGCUUAACCUGGGAACUGCAUCCGAUACUGGAUGGCUUGAAUUCGGGAGAGGGAUGCAGAAUUCCAGGUGUAGCGGUGAAAUGCGUAGAUAUCUGGAGGAACACCUGUGGCGAAGGCGGCCAACUGGACAGAUACUGACGCUGAGACACGAAAGCGUGGGGAGCAAACAGG